rnacentral:rRNA from 1 species
AAUUGAUCUGGUCAGGACGAACGCUGGCGGCGUGCCUAACACAUGCAAGUCGAGCGAGGAGAUCCUCGGGAUGAUCCUAGCGGCGGACGGGUGAGUAACACGUGGGCAACCUGCCUCAUAGAGAGGAAUAGCCUUCCGAAAGGGAGAUUAAUACCUCAUAACAUUGCAGUUUCGCAUGGAACAGCAAUUAAAGGAGCAAUCCGCUAUGAGAUGGGCCCGCGGCGCAUUAGCUAGUUGGUGAGGUAACGGCUCACCAAGGCGACGAUGCGUAGCCGACCUGAGAGGGUGAUCGGCCACAUUGGGACUGAGACACGGCCCAGACUCCUACGGGAGGCAGCAGUGGGGAAUAUUGCACAAUGGGGGAAACCCUGAUGCAAGCAACGCCGCGUGAGUGAUGACGGCCUUCGGGUUGUAAAGCUCUGUCUUCAGGGACGAUAAUGACGGUACCUGAGGAGGAAGCCACGGCUAACUACGUGCCAGCAGCCGC